rnacentral:tRNA from 1 species
UCCGAAUUGGUGUAGUGGCUAACAUUUGACGCUCUCAUCGCAUGAAAACUCGCAUGAACCGUCAAGCCCGGGGUUCGAUUCCCCGAUUCGGAG